GAUGAACGCUGGCGGCGUGCUUAACACAUGCAAGUCGAACGGAAAGGCUCCUGCUUGCAGGGGUACUCGAGUGGCGAACGGGUGAGUAACACGUGGGUGAUCUGCCCUGCACUUCGGGAUAAGCCUGGGAAACUGGGUCUAAUACCGGAUAGGACGAUGGUUUGGAUGCCAUUGUGGAAAGUUUUUCGGUGUGGGAUGAGCUCGCGGCCUAUCAGCUUGUUGGUGGGGUAAUGGCCUACCAAGGCGUCGACGGGUAGCCGGCCUGAGGGGGUGUACGGCCACAUUGGGACUGAGAUACGGCCCAGACUCCUACGGGAGGCAGCAGUGGGGAAUAUUGCACAAUGGGCGCAAGCCUGAUGCAGCGACGCCGCGUGGGGGAUGACGGCCUUCGGGUUGUAAACUCCUUUCGCUAGGGACGAAGCGCAAGUGACGGUACCUAGCGAAGAAGCACCGGCUAACUACGUG
rnacentral:rRNA from 1 species